GCGAGAGUGGCGGAAUUGGUAGACGCACCAGACUUAGGAUCUGGCGGCUUUGCCUUGCGGGUUCGAGUCCCGCCUCUCGCA
rnacentral:tRNA from 1 species